UACGUAGGGGGCAAGCGUUGUCCGGAAUCAUUGGGCGUAAAGCGCGUGUAGGCGGCCUUGUAAGUCCGUUCUGAAAGCCCGGGGCUCAACCCCGGGAGGCGGAUGGAUACUGCAAGGCUCGAGUCCGGAAGAGGCGAGUGGAAUUCCAGGUGUAGCGGUGAAAUGCGUAGAUAUCUGGAGGAACACCGGUGGCGAAGGCGGCAUCCUGGACCGGCAUUGACGCUGAGGCGCGAAAGCCAGGGGAGCAAACGGG
rnacentral:rRNA from 1 species